rnacentral:rRNA from 1 species
CUACGGGCGGCACCAGUGGGGAAUAUUGGACAAUGGGCGCAAGCCUGAUCCAGCAAUGCCGCGUGAGUGAAGACGGCCUUAGGGUUGUAAAACUCUUUCGCUAGGGAAGAUAAUGACUGUACCUAGUAAAGAAGUCCCGGCUAACUCCGUGCCAGCAGCCGCGGUAAUACGGAGGGGACUAGCGUUGUUCUGAAUUACUGGGCGUAAAGAGUUCGUAGGCGGACUGACAAGUUAGAGGUGAAAUCCCAGGGCUCAACCCUGGAACUGCCUUUAAAACUGUCAGUCUAGAGACCGGAAGAGGUUAGGGGAAUACCUAGUGUAGAGGUGAAAUUCGUAGAUAUUAGGUGGAACACCAGUGGCGAAGGCGCCUAACUGGUCCGGUACUGACGCUGAGGAACGAAAGCGUGGGGAGCAAACAGGAUUAGAUACCCGAGUAGUC